UGGUGUAUAGCUCAGUGGUAGAGCAUGUGUUUGGUGUGCAUGAGGUCCUGGGUUCAAUCCCCAGUAUUUCUG
rnacentral:tRNA from 1 species